UUUAAGUCCUAACCCUAAGGUUGUGGGUUCGAGUCUCGGGCCGGCAAUACCACGACUGAGGUGCCCUUGAGCAAGGCACCGAACCUCGAACUGCUCCCCGGGCGCUGCAGCAUAAAUGGCUGCCCACUGCUCCGGGUGUGUGUUCACUGCUGUGUGUGUGGACUUUGGAUGGGUUAAAUGCAGAGCACGAAUUCUGAGUACGGGUCACCAUACUUGGCUGUAUGUCACGUCACUUUUUUUCACUUUUUCAGGGUCUGUGUGAUGUCUAGACUGUGUGUAGUUCCACGUCAUUCCCUGGUGAACAACAGGAGAUUCCUCUGUACAACGUCACACUCAAGCAUGGUGUAAUAUUACAUUGGCACAUUCACAAAGGAAAACAGUACACAAACACGAACAACGUAUUUUCACUUUCACUGGCUAGAAAGAAAAGGGCAUGUGCUGGCAGGAAAGACUGAAAUGAGAGUGAAGUGGGAGGCGAAAGGAGACAAUAUUGUCAUGCUAGUCUGACAAUAACUAUGAGAGUAUCAAUACAUUCAAUGAGCUUAUGGAACCGCCACUAAUCCAAAUUGUGGGUCUGCAGGUGGAAGGAUUGAUUCCCCUGUUCCAAUGUCAGGUUGACAACUGUGUCAGUGUUGUAGCUGUUCACACAUGCCCACAGAUAGACAAUGUACGGUCCGGCACAGGACAGCUUCACCGUCUUCUCAUUGUUUAGAUCAACACUGUGGUUCCAGAGCGCCAUGAAUUUCAGCUCACCUAACUCUGUGCCUGACACACACACACAUACACACACACAGACGUACAGAAAGAGGUGAGAAUUAGA
ensembl:lncRNA